rnacentral:rRNA from 1 species
AGAGUUUGAUCAUGGCUCAGAUUGAACGCUGGCGGCAGGCCUAACACAUGCAAGUCGAACGGUAACAGGAAACAGCUUGCUGUUUCGCUGACGAGUGGCGGACGGGUGAGUAAUGUCUGGGAAACUGCCUGAUGGAGGGGGAUAACUACUGGAAACGGUAGCUAAUACCGCAUAACGUCGCAAGACCAAAGAGGGGGACCUUCGGGCCUCUUGCCAUCGGAUGUGCCCAGAUGGGAUUAGCUUGUUGGUGGGGUAACGGCUCACCAAGGCGACGAUCCCUAGCUGGUCUGAGAGGAUGACCAGCCACACUGGAACUGAGACACGGUCCAGACUCCUACGGGAGGCAGCAGUGGGGAAUAUUGCACAAUGGGCGCAAGCCUGAUGCAGCCAUGCCGCGUGUAUGAAGAAGGCCUUCGGGUUGUAAAGUACUUUCAGCGGGGAGGAAGGGAGUAAAGUUAAUACCUUUGCUCAUUGACGUUACCCGCAGAAGAAGCACCGGCUAACUCCGUGCCAGCAGCCGCGGUAAUACGGAGGGUGCAAGCGUUAAUCGGAAUUACUGGGCGUAAAGCGCACGCAGGCGGUUUGUUAAGUCAGAUGUGAAAUCCCCGGGCUCAACCUGGGAACUGCAUCUGAUACUGGCAAGCUUGAGUCUCGUAGAGGGGGGUAGAAUUCCAGGUGUAGCGGUGAAAUGCGUAGAGAUCUGGAGGAAUACCGGUGGCGAAGGCGGCCCCCUGGACGAAGACUGACGCUCAGGUGCGAAAGCGUGGGGAGCAAACAGGAUUAGAUACCCUGGUAGUCCACGCCGUAAACGAUGUCGACUUGGAGGUUGUGCCCUUGAGGCGUGGCUUCCGGAGCUAACGCGUUAAGUCGACCGCCUGGGGAGUACGGCCGCAAGGUUAAAACUCAAAUGAAUUGACGGGGGCCCGCACAAGCGGUGGAGCAUGUGGUUUAAUUCGAUGCAACGCGAAGAACCUUACCUGGUCUUGACAUCCACGGAACUUUCCAGAGAUGAGAAUGUGCCUUCGGGAACCGUGAGACAGGUGCUGCAUGGCUGUCGUCAGCUCGUGUUGUGAAAUGUUGGGUUAAGUCCCGCAACGAGCGCAACCCUUAUCCUUUGUUGCCAGCGGUCCGGCCGGGAACUCAAAGGAGACUGCCAGUGAUAAACUGGAGGAAGGUGGGGAUGACGUCAAGUCAUCAUGGCCCUUACGACCAGGGCUACACACGUGCUACAAUGGCGCAUACAAAGAGAAGCGACCUCGCGAGAGCAAGCGGACCUCAUAAAGUGCGUCGUAGUCCGGAUUGGAGUCUGCAACUCGACUCCAUGAAGUCGGAAUCGCUAGUAAUCGUGGAUCAGAAUGCCACGGUGAAUACGUUCCCGGGCCUUGUACACACCGCCCGUCACACCAUGGGAGUGGGUUGCAAAAGAAGUAGGUAGCUUAACCUUCGGGAGGGCGCUUACCACUUUGUGAUUCAUGACUGGGGUGAAGUCGUAACAAGGUAACCGUAGGGGAACCUGCGGUUGGAUCACCU